CACGGGGGAGCAAGCGUUGUUCGGAAUUACUGGGCGUAAAGGGCGUCUAGGCGGAUAGGUAAGUGGGAUGUGAAAUCCCUCGGCUCACCCGAGGACCUGCACCCCAAACUGCCUGUCUUGAGUAUGGGAGAGGAUGAGGGAAUUCCUGGUGUAGCGGUGAAAUGCGUAGAUAUCAGGAGGAACACCGGUGGCGAAGGCGGUUCUCUGGGAAUGACCUGACGCUGAGGAGCGAAAGUGUGGGGAGCGAACAGG
rnacentral:rRNA from 1 species